UACAGAGGUCUCAAGCGUUGUUCGGAUUCAUUGGGCGUAAAGGGUGCGUAGGCGGUGUCGUAAGUCGGAUGUGAAAUCCCGGGGCUUAACUUCGGAACUGCAUUCGAUACUGCGAUACUCGAGGACUCGAGAGGAGAUUGGAAUUCACGGUGUAGCAGUGAAAUGCGUAGAUAUCGUGAGGAAGACCAGUGGCGAAGGCGGAUCUCUGGAGAGUUCAUGACGCUGAGGCACGAAGGCCAGGGGAGCAAACGGG
rnacentral:rRNA from 1 species